ACGAACGCUGGCGGCGUGCUUAACCCCUGCCAGUCGAACGGAAAGGCCCUUCGGGGUACUCGAGUGGCGAACGGGUGAGUAACACGUGGGUGAUCUGCCCUGCACUUUGGGAUAAGCCUGGGAAACUGGGUCUAAUACCGAAUAGGACCACGCGCUUCAUGGUGUGUGGUGGAAAGCUUUUGCGGUGUGGGAUGGGCCCGCGGCCUAUCAGCUUGUUGGUGGGGUAAUGGCCUACCAAGGCGACGACGGGUAGCCGGCCUGAGAGGGUGACCGGCCACACUGGGACUGAGAUACGGCCCAGACUCCUACGGGAGGCAGCAGUGGGGAAUAUUGCACAAUGGGCGCAAGCCUGAUGCAGCGACGCCGCGUGAGGGAUGACGGCCUUCGGGUUGUAAACCUCUUUCAAUAGGGACGAAGCGCAAGUGACGGUACCUAUAGAAGAAGCACCGGCCAACUACGUG
rnacentral:rRNA from 1 species